rnacentral:misc_RNA from 1 species
AAGUCGUAACAAGGUUUCCGUAGGUGAACCUGCGGAAGGAUCAUUAAUGAAUUACAAAGUCGAUUGUCUGUGCUGGCAUAACCAAUGCAUGUGCACGUCAAUUGGCAUAUAUCCACACACCUUGUGCACACCUAGACCACAGAAGGGUUCGUUGAGGCUUUGGUCUUGGCUUGAGCAACUCUGUUGGUACUUUUCAUACACUCGCAUGUGAUUGGGAUGUUAUAAGUGCCCUUAGCACUGAUAAAUAAAAAACAACUUUCAACAACGGAUCUCUUGGCUCUC